rnacentral:lncRNA from 1 species
GUAAUGUGUGAAGUCUUGCUUGAGAAUGCUCCGGACACCUGGCUAUAGAAGGAAGAAUAGAAAUUGCGAUAACAAAAUCCUAAUUCUAAUAGAAUACUAACAAUGCUCUAAUUAGACUAUAAUAAUGAUAAACAAACGUAAUCAAAUUCAAAACAACUCAAAGAAAUUUCAAACAAACAAUAAAAUUCUUAAAGAAAUAUUAGAAUGAUCACAAAUUUUACUCAAAUAUAUGUCAAUUCAACCUUAAUUUAAUUCUAGUUAAAACCCUAUUGAAUUUCACUCAACUUUAGACCAAACCUAAUUAAAUCUUAAACCCUAAUAAUUCCUAAAUCCUAAGUCAAAUCCUAAACAAAUCUUAAAUUAAACCCUAUUCCAAACCCUAAACCCUAAACCAACCCUAAAUCAAAUCCUAAACCAAACCCUAAUCCAACCCUAAAUCAAACCUUAAAUCAAAUCCUAAUCAAACCCUAAUCCAAAUCCUAAAUCAAAUCCUAACCAAACCCUAAUUCAAAUCCUAAUCCAAACCCUAAUCCAAAUCCUAAACCCUAAUCCAAAUCCUAAUCCAAACCCUAAUCCAAACCCUAAAUCAAAUCCUAACCAAACCCUAAAUCAAACCCUAAUCUAAUCCUAAAUCCUAAUCCAAAUCCUAAUCCAAAUCCUAAACCGAACCCUACCCAAACCCUAACCAAACCCUAAACCCUUAACCAAACCCUAAUCCAAACCCUAAA